CAUAUACUCCCUCCAUCCCAAAAUUCCUGUCUUAGAUUUGUCUAGAUACGGCUGUAUCUAGUCAUGUUUUAGUGUUAGAUACAUUUGUAUCUGGACAAACCUAAGACAAGAAUUUUGGGACGGAGGUAAUAUAUG
rfam:Triticum aestivum genome assembly, contig: Triticum_aestivum_CS42_TGACv1_scaffold_343499_4DL